rnacentral:lncRNA from 1 species
AACCUGCCUCAGUAUGCAGCUCACUAGAUUUUAAAAUACAGCUAAUGUGUUGCUAACAUCUGUCAGUUAGUCAGGGAGUGUUUUACCAUGCAUUAUUACCAUGCAUUAUCAUUAAAUCAUACUGCUUAUCAUAAAUAAACCCAAUUCAUAAUUGAGAUUUAGAAACGUUUGUAAAUGUGGCCGCUUGCUCAUUAAUAUCAUUUAUUGUCUGUGCAUGUGUGCCUGUGUGUGUGCGUAAAUCUGCAUUUACUGAGGUGAUCAGUAUCAGCGACUGUGUGAGACUAUUACUCAUGGUAAAGGAGUCAAGGUGGGAAGUUUAGGGGAGCUGUCAGUAGCUUCAACUGUUCUGAAAUCGCUUCAUUAAUCCAAGCGGUUUUCAUUCAUCUCUCCAGUCGCAGUGCAUCUGCCUGAGGACGGGCCUCCGCGUCUGCCACUGCACCAAACCGCUUCAGCGAGCAGAGCGCACAUGAUGACACAACUGUAGCCAGGAGCUGUUUACUAAAGAAAACAUGAAUAAUGACAGGAACCGUCGAGGAAUCGUCCAGAGUGCAUGGGAAACAAGCAAGUGGGACAAAUUCAGCAGGAAAAGGUUGUCCCUGAGGAUUGGCCUCGUCACCCUAUUGACUACGCCAGGAUCCGCAUCUCCCACAAUCCUCUGGCUCUCCUCUGGUGGUGUCUUUCUUUAGCCCCGUUUUUGGAUGUUGGCAGGCAUGUAUCUUUUUGUUGGCAUUGCGACGCUGCAGCUGCGUGCCAGCUGUUUACGCCUCUUUGUCUUUCAGUUACACUGUGUUCCUCUCAGCAGUGAACUGCCAAAAUAAUGUCAGGAUUUGCAACUGACUUUGAAAACUUUUUAGUAUCUGCUCAAAAAUUACUCAGAAGUGUGAAACUUAAAAUUUUGUUUUUAGAUUUUGUCACAUUGCACGCCACGCUGGUCGUUGUUUAAAUCAAAUCAGUAUGAAUCUGUCAAAUGAAUCUGUCAAAAAGUGAUGACGCUUUUUUUUUUGCAGUGCAAAAACAUACCUUUACAAAACAUGCAGUUUCCAGCUGAAAUGACCACUAUGCUCAUCAUUCAACAGUCAAUACAUAGUGAAUGACACUACCACAAAACUAAAAAUAAAUAAAUAAAUAAAUAAAUAAAUAAAUAUGGAAAUGGUUUUGUUGGGUUUGUAAUUUUUUUUAUUUUUUUAUUUUUUUAAUACUACAUUCUUUGUAUACAAUAAAUUAAAUAGAUCGGAAUAUGGAGAAAAAAAAAUAUCUUACCAUAUCCUUAGAGAAGUCUGAAUGUGAUCUGAUUUUAGCAGUAUUUGGAAUUUAGCUAAAUUUAAGCAACCUGAAUAAAAACUGGCUCUCAGUUUGAAUCCAGAGGACAGUGUGGUGCCAGAAACUGGACCAUUGGUGUCCAUUGUCUGUUUUCUAGCCUCUCUCUUUUUAGUCAUUUUUUACAACCACACCCUCCUGCCAGUGUUUGGUCCUGGAGCAUGACAUGAAAUGAAAUGUGCUGAAGAAAAUGAGUUUGAUGUGACUUGCUGAUGAGCAGCAGCUUUGCUUGUGAGUGUGUGCGCCCACAGCAUCCCACUGGGAACAAUGAAAAUGUCGUUUUAUGUAAGUUUCCUGUUCAAGCAGGAUGCGGAAUACUGAUAGAUGUUUUUAAUGUGGAAGCAGUUGUCCAUGAGGAGACUCUGAGCUAUAUAAUUAGGUGGGAAUCUCUCGCCACAGGGGGAAACUCUGUUUAAUAGAGCUCACAGGCCUGUGACAUCAUCGGCAAGCAAAUCUAAAGCAUAAGAGUGGGUCAUUUCAUUUGUGUUAAAAUUACAGCCAAAUUUUCCUCACGUAAUGGAUCAUGUCAAACGAAGAAAGCCUCUAAUGCUCAGCCAGGCUGCAUUUAUUUGACUGAAAAUACAGUAAAACAGUAAUAUUGUGAAAUAUUAUUACAAUUUCAAAUAAAAGUUUUCUAUUAUAAUGCAUUUUAAAAUUUCAUUUAUUCCUGUGAUAAUAAAGCUGAAGUUUAGAAAUCAUUCUAAUAUGCUGA